GCCAUUUCGCCAAAAUUUUGCGAUGUACUUUUACCUGUCUUGAGUUUUUAUUGCAACUAUUUGUUAAUCUAGGAACUGUGCAAUGGAAAUUUGGUUUAUUUUGCCAUUAAGUUCAUGGUGUUACCGAUCAGCAUCUUGUUACCUCCUCCAGAGGCGGAGCCAGGAUUUGAAGUUUGUCGGUUCGGGAUUCUAAUUCGUUUAAGUUACUAGGUUCUAAAGUAGCAAUUUAUACAUAUUCAAUGGUUUUUUCAAGACAAAUAGAUGAUUUGAACCAAAGUUACUGGGUUCGGCCGAACCCGCUAAACGUAUGCUGGCUCUGCCCCUGACCUCCUCCCCUCAGGCCACACUCCCCACCCCAAAACAAAAAAGGACAAAGAAAAGCUGCAUACUUUCUAUUUUGUAAAAUACUUGAGCUUUGAGCAUUAACUACAGGUUAAACCCUACUAAAACAAACUACUUGCUCCGUUUUAAUUUGUCUUAUUUUCCUUUUUAGCCGUUUUCCCUCAAACUCGUCACUGACACUCUUCCAAUUUUCUUGGAAGGUGUCUCGGCAAGUCUCUUUCCUCCAAAGACCCAGAAAUCCAUGGAGGUAAAAGUCACUAUGCAAAGGACGUUUCCAGGCAAAGCCACAACUAGCCAUAGAAGGAAACUUUAGCCGUUGGUUGACAUUACGAGAGGAAAACAUAGUAAUAGUGAAGAAAGAGGGAGGCCAUUGACGACGGAGAGACGACAAGUAAAGUGGGGAAGGACAAUUGGGUAUAGAAUAUUAGGAGGAAACGUCCCAAAAAUGGAAACAUGAUGUGUUUCUGAGUUUUAGAGGUGCAGAUACACGUAAAACCGUUGUGUCCCAUCUUUACACAUUACUGAAAUGCAGAGGAAUUUAUGCAUUCAAAGAUGAUGAGAAACUUGAUAGAGGGAAAUCCAUAUCACCUGAACUAUUGAAAGCCAUUGAGGAAUCAAGAAUUGCCAUUAUCAUAUUCUCCGUGAACUAUGCAUCAUCAGAUGUGAGGAAUCAGAGGGAUAGCUUUGGUGAAUCUUUAGACAAGUACGAGGCAAAUCUAACGGGCACCGCUAAUUUGCAAAAGGUAAAGAUGUGGAGGGAGGCUCUCCGUAAAGCAGCAAGUAUAUCAGGAUAGGA